UACGUAGGUGGCAAGCGUUGUCCGGAUUUAUUGGGUUUAAAGGGUGCGUAGGCGGUCUUUUAAGUCAGUGGUGAAAUACGGCAGCUCAACUGUCGAGGUGCCAUUGAUACUGGGAGACUUGAGUACUGAUGAGGUAGGCGGAAUGGACGGUGUAGCGGUGAAAUGCGUAGAUAUCGGAAGGAACACCAGUGGCGAAGGCGGCUUCCUGGGCUAAUACUGACACUGAGGUGCGAAAGCGUGGGGAGCAAACAGG
rnacentral:rRNA from 1 species